UGCCUGCUGGAGAGUAUUGGAGGAAGAAGCUGAGUCAGCAGGACAUCCCUGGGGCAUGAGCCUGGUGUUCACCUCCAGAUCCACAACUUAAGAAACAUGAGUGAAGAAAAUGAAGCUCGUUGGUUGCCUAAACGAUUGGUGCGGUGUAUGGAGUAGAGAGAGGCUGGCCCUGAUGUUGCUGAUGACCGUCCAGAGAUGCCAGAGUGAGACCUAUUGGGCCUGUGUUCCUGAUGCACCAAUUUACAUCCUGCCACUUGGAAAGGAAAAGGAAUUGUGGUUGUGGUUAAGGAUACCGGGCUGUUAGAUCGACCUUUCACCCAAGAGUUCCAGAUUACUCACAAUUUUUCUUAUAUUGGAUAUGGUAAAGGGAUCCCUAUAUGUUUUACAAAAGAUACUACUUUAGAGGGAUGUCUUGGAAUGUUUCCAAAACAAGUAUUGGAACAUGAUAAACAAUGUACCAGUUAUACAAAGUUAUUGCUUCCUCAGGGUAAUUGGACAAGUAAUACUUCACCAUCCAACGAUUUCCUUCAUGCACAAAAGAACUGCGAGAGUCUAACAGAACUUUGUUUUGGAGAUGAUGUACUGGCAUUGUUCCUUUAAGGUACAACAUCACAGGGAUACAACAGUAUAUUCUUGACUGGUCUGGAAAUCAGGAAGACUAUAGUGACUCUUAUGCUGUGUCUACAGCAGAAUCUUGGGACUAAGGAAUGUCAGCUGGAAUUUGUGGAAUUCCAGUACUGGAUCUCCACAAACUUAUGUUUGGAAAAUUGCUGCUGCCAUGGGAACAGUCAGAGGACGUUCCAGGCAUUUGAAACCUGUUUGUCCUUUGAAAGGAACUGUUUUAGCUUGUGUUAAAAUGCCCUAUGUUCUUUUAGUUGGUGAAACAAAUAUUUCUAUGAAUGGUUCUGUGUUUAAUGUAUCAUUUUGACCGAUUGUAUUUCCCAAAUGGAUAAUCACAUUCGUGUAAUAAUUUAAAACAACCUUUA